UACGGAGGGUGCGAGCGUUGUCCGGAAUCACUGGGCGUAAAGGGCGCGUAGGUGGCGCGGGCAGUCAACGGUGAAAGUUCGGGGCUCAACCCUGAAUCGGCCGUCGAUACUCCCGGGCUUGAGCACUGUAGAGGCAGAUGGAAUUCCGGGUGUAGCGGUGGAAUGCGUAGAGAUCCGGAAGAACACCGGUGGCGAAGGCGGUCUGCUGGGCAGUAGCUGACACUGAGGCGCGACAGCGUGGGGAACAAACAGG
rnacentral:rRNA from 1 species